ensembl:lncRNA
GUCCUCCUGUGUCAGUUACCAGAACCUGUAAAUUCUGACAUUUCUGUACAACAGUGUCCUAGGUUCUAUGUACAUUUCCUAUUGUGUGUGAAAUGCAACAGCUGUCCUCUGAAAAGGAAAAGAAUUACAAAGUGGGUUCCUCAGAUGUUAUUACUCACUUUUCAGCUAAUAUGGAAUGAUGAAGUGUACUUUCAUUGGCCCUUCUUCUCACAAACCUGCACUUAGCAUCCUUGCAUCCAAUGUAAUCCUCUACCAGUUUAGCAUGAAGCAGGGUGCUUGAUUUUAUUUGCAAAUAGUACUGUGGGCUGCAUGAAACGAAUAUCUAGAUCCAUGUCAGUCUGCUGUUAUGGGUCAGUUAUGGGACUGAGAGAGUUUUGGUCACCUUGGUGGAUGAUCUACACUAGGAACUGGACAGGGUGUGUGUGUCCCUGCUAGAUCUCUUGAUGCUUUUGAUGCAAUCAAGGACAGUAUCCCUUUUUUGGGUUGCUUCACAGGGAUGGGACUUGAAGGCACUAUCCUGCAGUGGCUCUGGUCGUUCUUGAAGAGGCAAACUCUGAAGGCAGUGCUGGGGAACUCUGUUCAUAUGCCCUGGCCAGGGCUUUCUGCUGUCACUCACACUAUUUAUUUUCAUUCUACAUGAAAUCUCUGGGAAAGAUUGUCUAAAGUUUUGGAGUGUGGCAUCCAAAGUUUUGGAGUGUGGCAUCAUCAACUCUCUCUCUCUCUCUCUCUCUCUCCUUCCCAUCUAAUUCCAAGGAAAUGGUUUUGACUCUAAACCGAUGCCUGAUAUCUGUAGUGGACUGGAUGAGCUUCCCCAAGAUCUUCAUCUACCAGAAAUUUACCUGUGAGAAAGAAGACUGAGGCCAGCUCCUGUUUCAAUGAAGAAGCAAAAAAUGACCUCCAGUGGAGGCUUCUAUCAAGGCAGUGAAGGAUGUACUCUAUUGAUUCCAACACCCUGCUACACUCUCUUGAAUCAUGCUUUUCUGAAGACUUUCCUGAACACUACAGAAUGGAUUUGGAGGAGAACAAUGCAAGAAAUUUUCCACUUCCCUCAGCAUUCAGACUCCAUUGCUGAUUUCUUCCACCACCGCCCCCAGGGGAAGCCCAGAUACAUGAAUCAGCAGUUGAAAACCACAAGCCACCUCUUCCUCAUAAUCAGGCCCUUGCUUUCUUGCUUGUGUCAGUGUGUAGAAUUCUUAAGAAUAGCAGCGACUAGCAAGUUUAUAUUGAUUCUGCUCUCCUAUAGUGGCAGCAGAAGCAGUCUCAGUUCCUCUAAACUGCCUAGGUCUAGGAAGUCCUCAUAAAUGCCCUUGUUUGGGAGAACAGAGGCAUGAGGCAUGUGGGAUGUACCAAGGAGGAGAAGGUACCUUCAUAACACAAAGCACCUUUUAAAAAAUGACCAAUAUUUCCAAGCUCUGACUAAUGUUUUCCUGUCUUCAGAGUCAUAUUUUGUUCAUCAACUCAGUGUUUUUGGGGUGAAAGAUGGAAGACACAUCCUUUCUGCUACAAAUUAUACUUAAUAAUGUGGCCUUUAUUUUCUUCUUUCACUUGAGCAUUAUAUAAUGGAUGCAUGUAUUUUAGCACAAAACUAGAUGCAACAGAACAGCCAUGUGAACGUAAUCUAUGUGUCUGUCCUGUUUAUAUAUAAAUUUGAGUGAAUAUUUCAUACUAAACAUGAAAGAGCACCCUCCCACCCUGUCUUGGUGUCCUGCAUUGCUUUUAAGCCAACUUCUUCUUGCUCAGCUCAAAAAGCAACAGGUUUCAAUGAGGUAUGUGUGGCAGAAUUUCCUUCACCCCUGUUUUAUAUGUAAACUGGUACUCAGGUGCCCACACAUGUCUAGCUGAGCCUCAAGAUCAUCAUCUUAUUAUCUCUUUUAAAGCAAUAUUUACCAUUCUGGUAAGUCGUAUUUCCUUAUCCUUUUGAACAAAGUUAUCUGAAAUUACUGUACUAAGGAGAUCAGGACUCCAUUUGCAUUGACAAUUUCCCUUCCAAAUCUUCAUACAUUAUAGUGGUGCUUUCUAGAAGUACACAAGAAAAUGUUUCAUUAUUGCAGUCAUUUUUACUAUCAAACUCUUAUUCUAUUAUCCAUUCAUUAAGAUUACACUCAUUGGGUUAUCGAUCUGUUUAAAUCACAUUGAAUUCAUAUGCCAUAUAUUUUUCUUUCUUUCUGUUGCCUGCAAAGGUUGCAACACAGGCUCCCUCUAAGCGGAUCCCCCACACACAGGCAAGAGAAGUUUCCCAAAACAACUCAGAGGCUGCAUUAAUGACAGCCAUGGAUAUUGCAUUCUGGAGAUUAACAUGGCAGCCCACACAGAUGGCCACCAAUUCUUAUCAUGAGCUCAGUUCCCCCUGCCAAAAAGUACUGAGUCUUUGGGUAAAUGGAAAAUAAAAUAGGAGCAGCCAUAGCA